UACGUAGGUGGCAAGCGUUGUCCGGAUUUACUGGGCGUAAAGAGCGCGCAGGCGGUCGUUCAAGUCGCGUGUGAAAGCCCCCGGCUCAACUGGGGAGGGUCACGCGAUACUGAUCGACUCGAAGGCAGGAGAGGGUAGUGGAAUUCCUGGUGUAGCGGUGAAAUGCGCAGAUAUCAGGAGGAACACCGGUGGCGAAGGCGGGUCUCUGGGCAACAACUGACGCUGAGGAGCGAAAGCGUGGGGAGCGAACAGG
rnacentral:rRNA from 1 species